UUUUUUUUUUUAAUAAUUAUAAUUUAAUUUUAAAAAAUUAAAUAAUUUGGUAGUAUUUUUUAAAAUUAGAGGAUUUUGUUUAUUAAUUGAUAAUACACAUUAUAAUAUACUUAAUUUAAUAAAUUAUAUAUUGUUGUUUAAUUAAUAUUUAAAAAUAAUUAAUAGUUUUUAUAUUAAAAAAAUAAUUCAAAUCAUAAUAUAUUAAAAAUUUAAGAUUAAAAUGAAAUACAUUAAAUUUAUUUAAUUUGGAUUUUAAAUUUUAAUAUUUAAUUAAAAAUGGAUUUAAAAUUAAAAUUUUAUAUAUUUAAAAUUUUAAUUUUUUAAAAAAAUAUAU
rnacentral:rRNA from 1 species